CCUACGGGAGGCAGCAGUGAGGAAUAUUGGUCAAUGGGCGGGAGCCUGAACCAGCCAAGCCGCGUGAAGGAAGAAGGCGCCAAGCGUCGUAAACUUCUUUUGUCGGGGAACAAAGGCCGCCACGCGUGGCCUUAUGAGUGUACCCGAAGAAAAAGCAUCGGCUAACUCCGUGCCAGCAGCCGCGGUAAUACGGAGGAUGCGAGCGUUAUCCGGAUUUAUUGGGUUUAAAGGGUGCGGAGGCGGUCAGGCAAGUCAGCGGAAAAAGCCCGGGGCUCAACCCCGGCGAGCCGUUGAAACUGUGGGGCGAGAGAGGGGGAGAAGGAGGAGGAAUGGGCGGUGUAGCG
rnacentral:rRNA from 1 species